GACGUAGGGCGCGAGCGUUGUCCGGAUUUAUUGGGCGUAAAGAGCUCGUAGGCGGCUUGUCGCGUCGACUGUGAAAUCCCGCGGCUCAACUGCGGGUCUGCAGUCGAUACGGGCAGGCUAGAGUUCGGUAGGGGAGACUGGAAUUCCUGGUGUAGCGGUGAAAUGCGCAGAUAUCAGGAGGAACACCGAUGGCGAAGGCAGGUCUCUGGGCCACUACUGACGCUGAGAAGCGAAAAGCCAUGGGGGAGCGAAACAGG
rnacentral:rRNA from 1 species